ensembl:lncRNA
GCACUGGGGGGGCGGAACCGGGGGCGCACCGGGUACCGGGGCAGGAGCUGGGGGCACACCGGCUACCAGGAGGGGAACAGGGAGGGCACCGGGUACCGGGGGGGAGGAACCGGGGGGCAACCGAGUACCAGGGGGGCACUGGGUACGAAGUGGGGGAGGCCACUGGGGGGCACCGGAGGGGGAAAACCAGGAGGGCACCGGGUACCAGGGGGGAGAACUGGGGAGGGGGCGCCGGGCGGGCACCGGGUACCGGGGGGAGAAGCCGCUCACCCUCCCCGUUGCCCCCCAGCACUACGCCAGCCGUAACGGGCACCUGGGGGUGUGCCGCCUGCUGCUGCAGCGCGGUGCCCGCUGCGACGCCCGCACGCCCGGCGGUGCCACCGCCCUGCACCGCGCCUGCUACUGCGGCCACCUGGCCGUGGUCCGGCUGCUGCUGGAGCACGGCGCUGACCCCGCCGCCGCCGACGGGGACGGCCGCACCGGGCUGCACAAGGCGGCCGAGUGUGGCCACCGGGACGUCUGCGCCCUGCUCCUGCAGCUCGACCCCGCGCUGGCGGCCGCCCGCGACGCCCGGGGACGGCGGCCCUGCGACACGGCGGACCCCGCGCUCCGGGACCUGCUGGAUGGCUGAGGGGGGAGCGCCCAGCUCCUGGCCGGGGCAGCGUGGCGAGGCCACCUCAGAGCCGCAGGCUCUGGGCCAGCAGUCCCAGUGCCGUCACCUCCCAGUACGGAAGCGCCCCUCAAAUGGAGCUGGAACCCCCCCGUGCUUCAGCUUGUGCCCGGUGCCUCUCGUCCUGUCCCAGCACAGCUGCAAAGAGACCGGCUGCGUCCUCUGGACACCCUCCCGCAGGUAUUUACACACCUCAGUGGGGUCUCUGGGGAUCGGCACCGCCCCGACCUGCUGCCAGCACCCCUCCAACGCCCCCAGGAUCCCGCUGGGGCUCCCCGAGCAC